rnacentral:rRNA from 1 species
GAUGAACGCUGGCGGCGUGCCUAAUACAUGCAAGUCGAGCGAACGGACGAGAAGCUUGCUUCUCUGAUGUUAGCGGCGGACGGGUGAGUAACACGUGGAUAACCUACCUAUAAGACUGGGAUAACUUCGGGAAACCGUAUCUAAUACCGGCUAAUAUUUUGAACCGCAUGGUUCAAAAGUGAAAGACGGUCUUGCUGUCACUUAUAGAUGGAUCCGCGCUGCAUUAGCUAGUUGGUAAGGUAACGGCUUACCAAGGCAACGAUGCAUAGCCGACCUGAGAGGGUGAUCGGCCACACUGGAACUGAGACACGGUCCAGACUCCUACGGGAGGCAGCAGUAGGGAAUCUUCCGCAAUGGGCGAAAGCCUGACGGAGCAACGCCGCGUGAGUGAUGAAGGUCUUCGGAUCGUAAAACUCUGUUAUUAGGGAAGAACAUAUGUGUAAGUAACUGUGCACAUCUUGACGGUACCUAAUCAGAAAGCAACGGCUAACUACGUG